rnacentral:rRNA from 1 species
UACGGGGGGGGCAAGCGUUGUUCGGAAUUACUGGGCGUAAAGGGCUCGUAGGCGGCCAACUAAGUCAGACGUGAAAUCCCUAAGCUCAACCUAGGAACUGCGUCUGAUACUGGAUGGCUUGAAUCCGGGAGAGGGAUGCAGAAUUCCAGGUGUAGCGGUGAAAUGCGUAGAUAUCUGGAGGAAUACCGGUGGCGAAGGCGGCAUCCUGGACCGGCAUUGACGCUGAGGAGCGAAAGCGUGGGGAGCAAACAGG